rnacentral:lncRNA from 1 species
ACACCAUUUGUCUUUAUGCUUUAUAGGUACAAUCAGAUCAGAAAGCAUUGUGCUUUAUGGCACAGUUUCCUUGGCCAAAGGAUGCUUUUGCAGCAGAGGUUUGCUGUCAGGAGGCAUUAAAGCUCUGAAGAAAAGGUUGCUGUGCACUGGGCCUGGAGACAUCACCUCACAGCAUGUCACUGGUGGUGGAUAUCUGCAAGCUUUGUGUCUGUCAAUGACUGCUCCGAAGGCUUUAUAGUCAGCUGUCCGUGGUUGUUUUGCUUUUUAGGGUGGAGGAACAGACGACAACGCACCGAUUGGAGUGAUGGUGUCCUGCUCAGAAAUGGAUGUGCUGGAUGGCAGAAGAGGAUUCUUGGCCAAGUAUGGAAUCAUCUCUGUUCCUUCACGAAGAUUCCUCAUGCUGAAGAAGAGAGAGGUUUUCUGACAACAGAUUCUUGACGAAGAAUGAGAAGAAGGUUUCUGACAUGAGAAGCCUCACGACCUGCCUCUCCCUCCUGGACUUUCUCUGCACUCUACGUGACUGCUGCCUAAGGUCAGCCACUCUGCUGCUGCUCUCCCCCCCCGAGAAGGUGUCGGAACAUCGUGCAACGGGACGACUGCCGGAUCCUGGUGCCUGGUUCAAAUGCAGUUCCUGACUUCUGCCAGCAGCACUCGCCGUUUAUCUUCCUCGCACCCAGAAACACACGACUUACAACAGAAAUCUCUCUGGAGUUGCAUUAGAGAUGGUGUGACAAACAAGAGGGACAGCACAAGGGCUGUAAAGGAGAAGCAUCCCGACCUUUGAUCCACCUCUGGUGUUUAAGAGCAAAACAUGAAGGGAAGGCAGGAGAUGUACAAUGUAAGUACCUCU